AUUGAACGCUGGCGGCAGGCCUAACACAUGCAAGUCGAACGAGUGGCGGACGGGUGAGUAAUGUAUGGGAAUCUGCCCGAUGGAGGGGGAUAACUACUUGAAACGGUAGCUAAUACCGCAUACUCUCGGAUGUUCCCAGAUGGGAUUAGCUAGUAGGUGGGGUAAAGGCUCACCUAGGCGACGAUCCCUAGCUGGUCUGAGAGGAUGACCAGACACACUGGAACGGAGAAACGGUCAAGACUCCUACGGGAGGCAGCAGUGGGGAAUAUUGCACAAUGGGCGCAAGCCUGAUGCAGCCAUGCCGCGUGUAUGAAGAAGGCCUUCGGGUUGUAAAGUACUUUCAGCGGGGAGGCGUUACCCACAGAAGAAGCACCGGCUAACUCCGUGCCAGCAGCCGCGGUAAUUC
rnacentral:rRNA from 1 species